UCAGUAACUGGGACUGUUUCAGAUAGAGAAGGGCCUGGAGCAGCAGCCAUGUGUGUGGCUUUGUGUUUGUUCCUGACUUAGUAUCUGUAAGGUGAUAGAGUCUGGAAAGAGCAGGCUUUAGUACGUGUAACAGAGUCAAGGCUUGUUGGAUGAGGCUGCCUUCACAUGCAGCAGAGCUCCUCUGAACCCUGAGUAAGAAGAAAACAGGAGUUGCUGUGUUACCAGUGUGCGGCUUCUAGCAAUUUAUGUGUGAUUUUAGCUGCCAUUCUUAGAGGAAAUAUUCUUCCUGCUACAAAAAGUUGGAAUGCAUGGCCAUCCAUGCGGCGUGAGCCAUGUUUAUGACAAGCUUUCAGAAAGAUAAUAUUUCACAUUGUACUGAGAAUUAUACUGCUGUGUGCACCGUGACCCAAGAGUGACAAGGAUGUGAAUCCUGUGCAUUGCUGACCUCGCCUGGGCUGACUCAGACUCUCAAACCUCAGACCUCAUUGCAGAGAACAAUUGCAUCUACAAAGACAUCAGAGGGGCAGUGGCAGGUGGUACAAGAUAGAGCAUUCACUGGAAAGCUGUGAAGUGACAGCAUGAGACUGCAGAUGAAAUGGCAACUUCACUCCUUAGAAUAAACAUACGUUGGGACACCCAAGUAGGAGACUAGUUUGGCAUGGGAGGAAGAAAACCUGGCUUUAAAAGAGGAGUUCAGACAGGAAGCAGCAAUAUUCCAAGAAGAUUUCCGAGUCAAACAGGAGAGGAACUGGCUUCUCAAAGAGCAUAUUGCAGAGAUUCCCUAAAACAUUCAGCUGCACAGCUGGAGCAGGGCAAGAGCACAGACCUGCUGACAGUCACCGGAGUAACUCAGGGCAGUGGCUGUGCACAGGGGUGAGGCUGGGCGCUGCCGGGAGCCCGCUGGGCAGAUGGCUGCCAGAGCCUUGUUGGUCAGCCCUGCUGGUUCUUGCUUGUGUUGCCAUUGUGCGGUGAGGUAAGGCUCGUGGUUGCCUUGAGACUGUGUAUAUUGAGCUGAGAUGACUGAAGAACCAAAGUGGCUCAUGAAGUCGAGGACAGUAGCCUGCAGCGAUGAUGGCAGCAAGCAGAAGGAAAACCUGAACUGGGCAGAGAGAGGAUGAAGCCCUCCUUCACAUCCUUCAGAGGCACCACAGGCAACAGAAGCAGCUUCCUACUGGCCCAGCACAGAUGGAACUGACUUGAUCAGCAUGUCACCACCUUCUUCUUAGUCACAGUUACAAGAGGAGAUGAACCGAAGCUCAUCCUCAAUGAGAUGUGACACUGUUCAAGGGCUGUUUUGGCUGCAGUGUAUGCACACGAAUUCUGCAGCUCCAUGAGAACAGUAGGUCAUCCCUGGGCCAGUGGUAAUGCAGUGGUACACCAGAAGCAAGUCUGUAUCAAUUCAUUUCACAUCUGGCACACUUUGUGUUUCAGAAACCGCGUAAGUUACCUUCAAUCCAACUCCCACUGACCACACCAUUAAGAGUAUUUCUUAAUUAUUAUUUCUUAUUAUUAAGAGCCAGAUAGGAAAUGAACUGAGAGUAAAUACCUCAACAGUGCACUUACUGACCCUCAUCAUCUUCUGAAAUCCCACAACCCCAAAGAAACCCAUACAAAAAGUCAGCUCUGCAUUCUGCAACGUAACUGAUGUUUAUUACUUUAUUAAAUAGCCAAUUCUAAAGAACAGUAAAAAACAGGCAUCAUUUGGUGUUCUUAAAAAAAAAAAAAAAAAAAAACCACAACAUUUGUCCAAAAUAAAGACUGUUAGAAAAAUUAACAAGUUUGGCCCCAGAAAGCUACGUAUACCUUCUGCUCUCCAUGAGAAGUGCUGGGCAGUUAUAAAUACUGUUCCUUUUCAUCUAGCAAAGUUUAACAAUGUAUACAUUAGUAUUUCCAUUACAGGUUUUUUUUCACAUUUUUUCUGUAAACAAGAUCAAUAUAAAACUGCCUUGUUAGCAAGCUUAAGAAACUAUUGCGUUUCUGUACAGUAAAUACAAGUAGGACAAUCCUGGAUUUUCCUUCCAUUUUCAUCAGCAUUCCAUUUACCAAGACAUUAAAAAGAUUUCAAUUAGUACAAAAAUAUAAUCAGAGUAAAUGUCUGCGAAGAUUUCAGUGUUUGAGUGAGUCCUUGUUAACAGGCAAUGAAAAUGCUAUUGAGUUCUGAAUCUGAAGAUCUGUCUGUACAGCUUCUACUCUUCUGAGAGCUGAGCAGCACAGCGCUGUGUCCAAAGGCACUGGUUAUCCAUCUGAAAUGUUCACUUCUUAUUUACUAAAGGUAAUUUAACAUUGAGCUGAAUGAAAAACCGCUGUGUUUGGUCUAUGUGCAAAAGGGCAAAGCUGAUUAACAAACCCCACCAGUGGGCACCUGCUCUCCACAAGGCAGGGCUGACUUCUCAGAAUGCCUGUAGAACUUAGCAAGAACUGUGACUUCAGUUAGACCUCAGUCUGGUGUGGGUGACCGACUGGGCAACGUCACACACUUGUUCCUUCCCUGCAGAAACAGAAAUCCCUCUCUUGUUCUCUGCAGAGAAGUUUAAGACUCAAUGGAAAAAUCUUCAUUACCAGUACUGCUGAAAUGGAGUGGCAGGAAUUUUUUUUUCUGUCGCAGUACUGCUACUGACUCAUCAUUCUUGUAUCAAAUGUCAAAUUCAGUUUUCAUCUUCCAUUUUUCUAAUCUGGCCUCUAAUAGAGAAUAAGACAAAACGGAGCGCUACAACUAUAGCAUUGUUCAUUGCAUCAUUGCAUCAACAAAUGUUUUGCAUAUAAAUGUAGGUUCGAUGCAGAUAUUUCAUCUGUGUGUCAUCAUGUUCCAUUCGUGCGCUCCAGAAAAAUCUGUAAGCCAAAAGUGAGCAUCUUUUAAACCAUGAACAUGGUUUUCCAAGUUAAAUUCUUUUUUAACCCAGUCUCAGACAAGAUCGAUCCUGCAUGACUGCUCUUCCUAAAUGUUCUACAGCAGCAUUCUGUACGUGCCUGUUUCCAAUGCUUUUAUGUGCAUUCCUGCAGAGGACACACAGAUCAGAGGAGCCAGGAACCAGAGAAAGCGGGCACCCAGGGAUGAAGCCAGCCACGUGAAGAGCAACAGGCAGAGGAAAAAGCAAAAAGAGACUAAAAGGAAGGGAAAGUAAUGCUCUGGACAGAGUCCACAGGAUUGACUUAUCCCAUGUUUACGUUAUACUAACUGAACCAGUACAGCAAUUGCUUCCCUUGCUGUUUGAAAUGAGUGAUGGUGCCUGAUUAGAUGCUGCCUGUUUGUUACAGGCUAAUAUAGAAACCAUCCUGUCACAGCCUACACUUAAAUAAAAAAUCUUCAGUAGAAAAGUCUUGCAUAAAGAAACAGAAUAUCUGUUAAGGUGAAGGAAAACAGCAAGUACUGCCAGACAGCACAUAGUGGUGUCGUUACUGAGCUCUUAGUAGACACUUCUGCAUGGUAAACAGUAUUUCCUUUGUAGAAAGACCCUCCUGCUGAGUAAACUAGCAUCUUCAAAAGAGCAGUAAGCUGUUCUGAGCAAAGCAGAGUGAACAAAGGUGGAUUUCUGUUCACAAGCAGUAUGUCAGCUAUUUUCAUUACUCAGAAGAGGCUUUUUUCCCUUUCCAGCUCUUUUCUCUUUGCUCCAGUUCAGCUUCAGUGAAGGCUGCCGGGCCCCAGUUUGUGAUGAGGUGUGGAUUCUUGGAGCCUGGAAGACAGAGUGCAUUGAAACAAGAGUUUCUGACAGUACCACCACUCCCACAGCAGCAGGACAGACUCAGAAUGAUUCGGUCAGUGCUCCAUGGUUGGGAGCCAUCUCAAAGGCAGCCCAAGGAGCCACCUAACUGCAGCAGGAGGAACACCUGGGACACAGCAAAGGUGCUUCAAGGGAGAGGUUCCCAGCUGCUGCAGUCUCAGCCUAAACGUCCAAUCCAUCCCACCACUCAGAGAGAAGAUGCUACUGUGACCAGCAGUUCUGACAAUGUAGUGUUUAUAGGCUGUAGAGAAGCCAGUAAGCUACAAGAAAAGGUGGCCUUGCAUACACAGCUGGUUGAUGCAUGCAUCUGACAGAAGAGCCUGUUAAUGCCUCACUAAAUCCCUGAAGACAGAAGAAUUAGUUUUGGAAAUCCUUGUCCUGGAUUAUAAGAACAGCAUUUUAAUGCUGCAAGUCUUCCUCUCAUUGUGCUUGUGGGUGGAUAAAUACAGAAGAACCAGCAGUGUGAAGAAAGGAACAGUUUGGGGAAUAUAAUAAAUUCAGAAAAAUCCUAA